rnacentral:RNase_P_RNA from 2 species
GGAGGAGGCUGAGGAAUCGUUCCGACACUUGUCCUGCCGCCUAUGGCGAGCCUCGCCCCUUUGGGACGGGAGCCUGCAAAAAUAGUCGAAGGAUUUGUCGGAGAGGAAAGUCCGGACUCCGCAGAACAGGGUGAUGGUUAACGACCACCGUCCUUAGUAGCUCGUAAUGAGCUAGUCGAAGGAUAGGGAAAGUGCCACAGAAAAUAAACGGCCCUAGUAACCCUAAAGGUUAAUGGGCAAAGGUGAAAAGGUGUGGUAAGAGCACACCGCUUUGAUGGCGACAUCAAGGGCAUGGCAAACCCCACUCGGAGCAAGGUCCAAUUUGAAAAGAGGAGCUGUUCGCUCCGUUAGAUUUUCUAUGUUGACCGCUUGAUCCCGAUAGUAAUAUCUGGACUAGAAAAAUGAUUCUUAAUCCAGUUUAACUGGACGAACAGAAUCCGGCUUACACGCCUCCUCCAUAU